CCUACGGGAGGCAGCAGUGGGGAAUAUUGCACAAUGGGGGAAACCCUGAUGCAGCGACGCCGCGUGAGCGAUGAAGUAUUUCGGUAUGUAAAGCCCUAUCAGCAGGGAAGAAAAUGACGGUACCUGACUAAGAAGCCCCGGCUAACUACGUGCCAGCAGCCGCGGUAAU
rnacentral:rRNA from 1 species